rnacentral:rRNA from 1 species
UACGUAGGGGCCAAGCGUUGUCCGGAUUUAUUGGGCGUAAAGAGCUCGUAGGCGGUUCGGCAAGUCAGCUGUGAAAUCUCCACGCUCAACGUGGAGGGGUCAGCUGAUACUGCUGUGACUUGAGUCCGGUAGGGGAGUGUGGAAUUCCCGGUGUAGCGGUGAAAUGCGCAGAUAUCGGGAGGAACACCGGUGGCGAAGGCGGUUCUCUGGGCCUUACCUGACGCUGAGGAGCGAAAGCGUGGGGAGCGAACAGG